CGAGUCUGAUGGAGCACGCCGCGUGAGUGAAGAAGGGUUUCGGCUCGUAAAACUCUGUUGUUAAAGAAGAACAUAUCUGAGAGUAACUGUUCAGGUAUUGACGGUAUUUAACCAGAAAGCCACGGCUAACUACGUGCCAGCAGCCGCGGUAAUACGUAGGUGGCAAGCGUUGUCCGGAUUUAUUGGGCGUAAAGCGAGCGCAGGCGGUUUUUUAAGUCUGAUGUGAAAGCCUUCGGCUCAACCGAAGAAGUGCAUCGGAAACUGGGAAACUUGAGUGCAGAAGAGGACAGUGGAACUCCAUGUGUAGCGGUGAAAUGCGUAGAUAUAUGGAAGAACACCAGUGGCGAAGGCGGCUGUCUGGUCUGUAACUGACGCUGAGGCUCGAAAGUAUGGGUAGCAAACAGGAUUAGAUACCCUGGUAGUCCAUACCGUAAACGAUGAAUGCUAAGUGUUGGAGGGUUUCCGCCCUUCAGUGCUGCAGCUAACGCAUUAAGCAUUCCGCCUGGGGAGUACGGCCGCAAGGCUGAAACUCAAAGGAAUUGACGGGGGCCCGCACAAGCGGUGGAGCAUGUGGUUUAAUUCGAAGCUACGCGAAGAACCUUACCAGGUCUUGACAUACUAUGCAAAUCUAAGAGAUUAGACGUUCCCUUCGGGGACAUGGAUACAGGUGGUGCAUGGUUGUCGUCAGCUCGUGUCGUGAGAUGUUGGGUUAAGUCCCGCAACGAGCGCAACCCUUAUUAUCAGUUGCCAGCAUUAAGUUGGGCACUCUGGUGAGACUGCCGGUGACAAACCGGAGGAAGGUGGGGAUGACGUCAAAUCAUCAUGCCCCUUAUGACCUGGGCUACACACGUGCUACAAUGGAUGGUACAACGAGUUGCGAACUCGCGAGAGUAAGCUAAUCUCUUAAAGCCAUUCUCAGUUCGGAUUGUA
rnacentral:rRNA from 2 species